GGAAAAAGUAGGAUUUAGCACUUUUGGACUAGGAGAUUGAGCAAUCAAUCAUAUUAGAAAACAAUAUGAGAGAAAAGAAAAGGACGGGUUAAAGUAGUUUACUAGGAGACAUAACGGUUCCAUUGAUUUGAAUCUUUCAGAUCAGAAGCAGCUUAUAUAGCGAGAAAAAAUAUAUACUCCUCCUGUGUUAGUCCAAGUGCUAUUCAGUAGCAUGAAAAAAAAAUUCUUACCAUCUACCCUUAAUACUGUUUUUUGUUUUUAGAUACAAGAUAUUUUUGAGGAAUUUUUUUGCAACAUUUGAAUCUUUCUAUCUAUUUUAGAAACAAGCUGCGAGGACCGCUUUGUGAGUAUGCAGGACACUCUCCACCACCUUCACCGACACUGUGCUUCUAUAUCAG